UUUUCUUUCUAGUACAGUUUUUUACUUGAAGAUUUCAUACCUCGAUGUGUGUGUGUGUGUGUAUGUGUGUGUUUGUGUGUCUGUUGAGGUUUUUGAUGGGUUUUGAAACCAUAGGUAUGUUUCUUAGAUUAAAACAAAAACAAAGCCCAUAAAUAUACAGAAAACAUAUUUAAUUAUAAAAUAUCAAUUUUAAAAAUAUGAUUAUCCCUAUUGGGUAUCAAACCUACAGUGACAACGUACAUUCUUACAAAUGGAGGCCAAUUUUUGAUCAAGCUGUAGAAUAGUCUCCUCUUUUUCGUUUGCAGUCUUCUUGUAUAAACCACCACCGUCAGGCACAGAUGUGCCCUUUCUAGAUCAGAAUACGGUUGUGACUACAGUUCCAUUAGAAUGUGACCUCAACAAAUUAGGAAAUGAAGACUGAAACAGAAAAAGAGGAGACUAUUCUACAGCUUGAUCAAAAAUUGGCCUCCAUUUGUAAGAAUGUACGUUGUCACUAUCAGACUUGGGCCAACUUUGUCUACUUAGAACGUGGAAGAAAUAGAUCAGUGAGCAUCAACAAAAGUAAGAAUUUUACUGAUUAAAAAAAUGUUGAAGUUCAUACCCAUUUGAAAUUUCAUAACAAUAAGGUUACUUACUAAGUUUUAUUAUCAGCUUUCCCUUGGGUUUCAUUUUUACAAGCAGUGUGUUACAUACACUGUGAUCAGAAUAACAGAGUAAAGGCCUGGGAGGAAACCUCACUCAGAAGCACCAGUAGUUCCCAGAAUUCGAGAGAUUAUGUUUUGUGGUAAUCGGCAGCCAAGGGUGAUUCAAGAAAUGAGUAGCAUUUAUAAAGUGAAAUGCAAGAAGGAAUGAAUUAGAGUUGGGCAAGCGAGCACACUUGACGAUUAGAGAAGUAGAGGAACAGUGGAUCAGUAGUUAUCAGACCGACCGACUUAAACCAGGAACAUAGAAACUCCAGAGAACAAAGCCAGGUGGGCACCCAGGUAUCUGAGAAGCAGGAGUCAUAGCAACCAAAGAGACAGUUCGUGAUGAACAGGAGAACAAACACACACAUGAUACAUCGAUUCAGAAGCAAUCUCCCUCACAACCAGCCAGACACACUUUAAAUGCUUCUUCCUGUUAGAGCCAAGGCUGAAAGGAGCUUAGGCUUUCUGUGUCCUAUUGGAGGAAGCAGGGAACUGAA
rnacentral:lncRNA from 1 species